CUCUAGGAGACAUGUUCUCACAAGAUACAUAAAGUAUCAGGCACCCUGCAGAAAUUUGUUCUAAAAAGAUAACUUUGAUUGUUCUUGUAUUACCAUGUACUAGCAGGCUUCAGCAUACAAUAUGUACUAAAACUGAAUAGUAUUGUACAGAAGUUUUUCUGAGACAGCUGUAGCAGUUUUCACUGGUGUCUUGUACUAGAUAUAAAUAGAACAAAUUCAGAAAUUCCUACUUUAAUCCAUUGUAUAUUUGUAUAGUAACAUUUUAAUUAAUGCUUAAUCUUUCCUCACAUAAGUUGUUAAACUUUACAUAGUCUAUAUCUAAAUUCACAAAGUUGUGUCCAGCACAGAACUUUCU
rnacentral:lncRNA from 1 species